rnacentral:sRNA from 2 species
GUGAAAUAAAUCACAAACAAACAUACACCCCUUUGUUUGAACGUGAACAUUUCUCCCAUCCCCUUUGUGAAAAUGAGCGCUCUCGUAGAGUCGCUCAUUUU